rnacentral:tRNA from 1 species
GGAGAGGUCGCAUAGUUGGUCUAGUGCGCUCGCUUGGAAAGCGAGUAUACCGAGAGGUAUCGCGGGUUCGAAUCCCGCCCUCUCCG